GACGAACGCUGGCGGCGUGCUUAACACAUGCAAGUCGAACGGUAAGGCCCUUCGGGGUACACGAGUGGCGAACGGGUGAGUAACACGUGGGUGAUCUGCCCUGCACUUCGGGAUAAGCCUGGGAAACUGGGUCUAAUACCGGAUAGGACCACUGCCUGCAUGGGUGGUGGUGGAAAGCUUUUGCGGUGUGGGAUGGGCCCGCGGCCUAUCAGCUUGUUGGUGGGGUGAUGGCCUACCACGGCGACGACGGGUAGCCGGCCUGAGAGGGUGACCGGCCACACUGGGACUGAGAUACGGCCCAGACUCCUACGGGAGGCAGCAGUGGGGAAUAUUGCACAAUGGGCGCAAGCCUGAUGCAGCGACGCCGCGUGAGGGAUGACGGCCUUCGGGUUGUAAACCUCUUUCAGCACCGACGAAGCGCAAGUGACGGUAGGUGCAGAAGAAGGACCGGCCAAUUACGUGCCAGCCGCCGCGGUAA
rnacentral:rRNA from 1 species